rnacentral:rRNA from 1 species
UACAGAGGUCUCAAGCGUUGUUCGGAUUCAUUGGGCGUAAAGGGCGCGUAGGCGGCCACCGCAAGUCGACUGUGAAAUCUCCGGGCUUAACCCGGAAAGGUCAGCCGAUACUGCGGGGCUAGAGUGCAGAAGGGGCAACUGGAAUUCUCGGUGUAGCGGUGAAAUGCGUAGAUAUCGAGAGGAACACCUGCGGCGAAGGCGGGUUGCUGGGCUGACACUGACGCUGAAGCGCGAAAGCUAGGGGAGCGAACGGG